rnacentral:rRNA from 1 species
UACGAAGGGGGCUAGCGUUGCUCGGAAUUACUGGGCGUAAAGGGCGCGUAGGCGGACAGUUUAGUCAGAGGUGAAAGCCCAGGGCUCAACCUUGGAACUGCCUUUGAUACUGGCUGUCUUGAGUACGGGAGAGGUGUGUGGAACUCCGAGUGUAGAGGUGAAAUUCGUAGAUAUUCGGAAGAACACCAGUGGCGAAGGCGACACACUGGCCCGUUACUGACGCUGAGGCGCGAAAGCGUGGGGAGCAAACAGGG